rnacentral:rRNA from 1 species
UACAGAGGUCCCGAGCGUUGUUCGGAUUUAUUGGGCGUAAAGGGUGCGUAGGCGGCGGUGUAAGUUGGGUGUGAAAUCCCGGGGCUCAACCUCGGAAUUGCAUUCAAUACUGCUUCGCUCGAGUACUGGAGAGGAGGCUGGAAUUUACGGUGUAGCAGUGAAAUGCGUAGAUAUCUGGAGGAACACCGGUGGCGAAGGCGGCAUUCUGGACCGAAACUGACGCUGAGGCGCGAAAGCCAGGGGAGCAAACGGG